rnacentral:rRNA from 1 species
AGAGUUUGAUCCUGGCUCAGAUUGAACGCUGGCGGCGUGCCUAACACAUGCAAGUCGAGCGGUAACAGGUGUAGCAAUACAUGCUGACGAGCGGCGAACGGGUGAGUAAUGCUUUGGAAUCUUCCCAGUAGUGGGGAAUAACCAGUCGAAAGAUUGGCUAAUACCGCAUACGUCUGUAAAGGGAAAGCGGGGGCUCGUAAGACCUCGCGCUAUUGGAUGAGCCAAAGUCGGAUUAGCUAGUUGGUGGGGUAAUGGCCUACCAAGGCGACAAUCCGUAGCUGGUCUGAGAGGACGACCAGCCACACCGGAACUGAGACACGGUCCGGACUCCUACGGGAGGCAGCAGUGGGGAAUAUUGGACAAUGGGGGAAACCCUGAUCCAGCGACGCCGCGUGUGUGAAGAAGGCCUGCGGGUUGUAAAGCACUUUUAGUGGGGACAAAAAGCUACGGAUUAAUACUCUGUGGUCUUGAUUUAACCCAAAGAAAAGCACCGGCUAACUCUGUGCCAGCAGCCGCGGUAAUACAGAGGGUGCGAGCGUUAAUCGGNAUUACUGGGCGUANAGCGCGCGUAGACGGUUUUGUAAGUCAGAUGUGAAAUCCCUGGGCUCAACCUGGGAACUGCAUUUGAGACUGCAUGGCUAGAGUAUCGAAGAGGGAAGUGGAAUUUCCGGUGUAGCGGUGAAAUGCGUAGAUAUCGGAAGGAACACCAGUGGCGAAAGCGACUUCCUGGUCGAAUACUGACGUUCAUGUGCGAAAGCGUGGGGAGCAAACAGGAUUAGAUACCCCUGGUAGUCCACGCCAUAAACGAUGACAACUAGAUUGUUGGG